rnacentral:lncRNA from 1 species
UUUCUUUCUUUCUUUCUUUCUUUCUUUCUUUCUUUCUUCCUCUCUCUCUUUCUUUCUUUUCUGUCUUCCUUUCAAUGUGUGGUGGGGUGAGGAGGCCUGCUAAUGAAUGAGAAAGGAAUCCUCCGCUCUUUCUCUGUCCAUUUCCCCACCCCACCCCCUCCUCCCCGUCUGCUCCUUUCAGGCUGGCUGUUGGGACAGGAGGCUUCCAGGGUUCACACCAUCUUCCACAUAAUAGGGUAGCAUUUUACACCCAUCCUCUGCCUGGCAGGUGGCAAUGACGUCAUGUUUGAAGUCAGCCCAAGUGAAUCUCUAAGGUGCCCCAUGGUCCAUCCCACCGAGGAGCUGCAGGGGGACUUCACAACACUCUUUGCUCCCUGUCUGAUCCCUGAUGUGUUGAUAGAAGUCGGUAGACACGGACUUUAUGUGCAUGUUGGGAUGGCGGACACUGAGCUACAAGUAAGUCAUCUUCAUGUUUACAGUUAGACGAAGUUAACAUUUUAGAGGGAAAUGGCCUAAGAGAAAGCCCUAAUGACUAUCUUAGGAGCACACUGGUGUCCCGUCAGCUGGGGAAAAAAAUACCAUCAACCC